AGUGAACGCUGGCGGUAGGCCUAACACAUGCAAGUCGAACGGCAGCACAGUAAGAGCUUGCUCUUACGGGUGGCGAGUGGCGGACGGGUGAGGAAUACAUCGGAAUCUACUUUUUCGGGGGGGAUAACGUAGGGAAACUUACGCUAAUACCGCAUACGACCUACGGGUGAAAGCAGGGGAUCUUCGGACCUUGCGCGAUUGAAUGAGCCGAUGUCGGAUUAGCUAGUUGGCGGGGUAAAGGCCCACCAAGGCGACGAUCCGUAGCUGGUCUGAGAGGAUGAUCGGCCACACUGGAACUUAGACACGGUCCAGGCUCCUACGGGAGGCAGCAGUGGGGAAUAUUAGACAAUGGGCGCAAGCCUGGUCCAGCCAUCCCGCGUGGGUGAAGAAGGCCUUCGGGUUGUAAAGCCCUUUUGUUGGGAAAGAAAAGCAGCAGGUUAAUACCCCGCUGUUCUGACGGUACCCAAAGAAUAAGCACCGGCUAACUUCGUG
rnacentral:rRNA from 1 species